AUUGAACGCUGGCGGCAGGCCUAACACAUGCAAGUCGAGCGGAUGAAGAGAGCUUGCUCUCUGAUUUAGCGGCGGACGGGUGAGUAAUGCCUAGGAAUCUGCCUGGUAGUGGGGGAUAACGUUCCGAAAGGAACGCUAAUACCGCGUACGUCCUACGGGAGAAAGCAGGGGACCUUCGGGCAUUGCGCUAUCAGAUGAGCCUAGGUCGGAUUAGCUAGUUGGUGAGGUAAUGGCUCACCAAGGCGACGAUCCGUAACUGGUCUGGGAGGAUGAUCAGUCACACUGGAACUGAGACACGGUCCAGACUCCUACGGGAGGCAGCAGUGGGGAAUAUUGGACAAUGGGCGAAAGCCUGAUCCAGCCAUGCCGCGUGUGUGAAGAAGGUCUUCGGAUUGUAAAGCACUUUAAGUUGGGAGGAAGGGCGUUUGGCUAAUAUCCAGGCGUUUUGACGUUACCAACAGAAUAAGCACCGGCUAACUUCGUGCCAGCCGCCGCGGUAAGAC
rnacentral:rRNA from 1 species